rnacentral:tRNA from 1 species
UUCCUGGUGGGCCAGUGGCUAAGACUCUGUGCUCCCAAAGCAGCGGGCCCAGGUUCGAUCCCUGGUCAGGGAA